AGUGAACGCUGGCGGCAGGCCUAACACAUGCAAGUCGAGCGGCAGCGCGUCCGACCACCCUCGGGUGGUCGGAUGGCGGCGAGCGGCGGACGGGUGAGGAAUGCAUCGGAAUCUGCCUCGUUGUGGGGGAUAACGUAGGGAAACUUACGCUAAUACCGCAUACGACCUACGGGUGAAAGUGGGGGACCUUCGGGCCUCACGCGAUGAGAUGAGCCGAUGCCGGAUUAGCUAGUUGGCGGGGUAAAGGCCCACCAAGGCGACGAUCCGUAGCUGGUCUGAGAGGAUGAUCAGCCACACUGGAACUGAGACACGGUCCAGACUCCUACGGGAGGCAGGCAGUGGGGGAAUAUUGGACAAUGGGGGGCAACCCUGAUCCAGCCAUGCCGCGUGUGUGAAGAA
rnacentral:rRNA from 1 species